rnacentral:lncRNA from 1 species
UGUGACCUGUUAUAACUAUAACAUGUUAAAGUGGUCACAAUGAAAUUUUUGAUACUAACUAUUCCAUUAAGCAGCUAAGUUUUGACAAAAUUUUCAUCAUUGGUAAACAAUUUAACCUCCUAGCCAAGUGGUAAUGAAAUACUUGACCCAGGUUCAAAUCUCAUAUACUUCAACUUUGUGUGACUUACCGUUUAAUUUAAUAAUAAACCAUGUCAAAGUGGUCAAUAUGGGAAAGAGAAAUUAAAUAUUUUUUUAUUUUUGUUACUACAAAUCCUCCUAUCCUAUCAACUUAAAUGGACAUUAAAUGUUACACAUGUCACUACUAUUUCAUUGGUUUAAAUGGACAUUAAAUGUUACACAUGUCACUACUAUUUCAUUGGUUUAAAUGGACAUUAAAUGUUACACAUGUCACUACUAUUUCAUUGGUUUAAAUGGACAUUAAAUGUUACACAUGUCACUACUAUUUCAUUGGUUAUGAUGAUUUAUAGAAACAAAAAGUAGAAAGAUAUUUAAUUUCUAUAGAAAAUAUUCUCAAAAUGUCAUGGCUUUCGUUAACGAAAAAGAAAGUUAA